UACGUAGGGGGCAAGCGUUGUCCGGAUUUAUUGGGCGUAAAGAGCGUGUAGGCGGUUAUACAGGUCCGCUGUGAAAACUGGAGGCUUAACCUCCCAGACGUCGGUGGAAACCGUAUAACUAGAGUCCGGAAGAGGAGAGUGGAAUUCCUGGUGUAGCGGUGAAAUGCGCAGAUAUCAGGAGAACACCGUGGCGAAGGCGGC
rnacentral:rRNA from 1 species